UACGGGGGGGGCAAGCGUUGUUCGGAAUUACUGGGCGUAAAGGGCGCGUAGGCGGCGUGACAAGUCACUUGUGAAAUCUCUGGGCUUAACCCAGAACGGCCAAGUGAAACUGUUGUGCUAGAGUGCAGAAGGGGCAAUCGGAAUUCUCGGUGUAGCGGUGAAAUGCGUAGAUAUCGAGAGGAACACCAGAGGUGAAGACGGGUUGCUGGGCUGACACUGACGCUGAGGCGCGAAAGCCAGGGGAGCAAACGGG
rnacentral:rRNA from 1 species